GGGGCGUUCCCAGACUGGUGGGCGGGGUCCGGAACAGCCGGCCGGCCCGGCGGUGCUCGGUUGGAGCCCAGGAACCUGAGCGGGAGGAAGAUGAGCCCAACUCUCGGUGCACGCCCAACGCAGAAGCACUGCACCGGCUCCUCCCCAUGCACUGCCCCUUCUCCCCGCGACAGCCUACACAGCCGGAGCCGGGCUCCAACUUGGAGAACCGGAUCUCCGCUGGCGAGCGUAGCCCCGCGCCUCGCGUGCGCGGCUCCGGCACCGAGCGCGCCAGGGUUCCGUGGGCGGACGGUCCGCGCACGCCCGACCCCCGGGUGGUGACGUCACCGCGUGGGCGGGCGCGGCGGCUCUAGGAGGGAGCGCUGUGGGCGUGGGCCGGGAUGGAAGUAUCACCCAGGGGAAUUCCGGCUGAGGUCGAGCCUGCCCACAGCUUCCCCGGCCUGACUGUGAACCCAGGGAGUGGGGGGUGGGGGCGUCCCUGCGACAUCAGAGCACAGUGGGCUGGUCCUCCCUGCUAGUCCUUCUUGGAUAGCUCCUGGGGACACGCAGGAAACCGUCCUCUUCCCUGGAAACCCGCUUGUGAACUAACUGGACCACUUUCCUAGCUUCCUUGGAAAUCUUCAAAACGAUAACAGCUAAUAAGGCUUCAAAUUUGAAGCAAUGAAAGUUUCCGAAUAUGAGUAGGAGCUUCAGGUUGUGGGGUACAUUAAUCAAACACUAAAGGGGGGGGGGGUAGUAAAAGAUAUUCGCUAGCAAGCCCCUUGCUAAUCCUCUCCCACUCUCCCAAUUUAGUGAAGAUGGAAAAAACCUUUGCAUCUUUCUCUGGGAGUGGAGGAAGGAAACUUUUAAAAAGCCACUCCAUAAAACAAAAGAAAGUCAAAUUCACCCACCAAAGGCAAGUGGAUCGGUGGUUUUGUGACAUAAUUUGUAAAUAAUCAAAAUAAAUUUGCUCUGUUCCUGCU